CCGGCGCACGGGUGAGUAACACGUAUCCAACCUGCCGUCUACUCUUGGCCAGCCUUCUGAAAGGAAGAUUAAUCCAGGAUGGCAUCAUGAGUUCACAUGUCCGCAUGAUUAAAGGUAUUUUCCGGUAGACGAUGGGGAUGCGUUCCAUUAGAUAGUAGGCGGGGUAACGGCCCACCUAGUCAACGAUGGAUAGGGGUUCUGAGAGGAAGGUCCCCCACAUUGGAACUGGGACACGGUCCAA
rnacentral:rRNA from 1 species